rnacentral:rRNA from 1 species
AUACGGAGGAUGCAAGCGUUAUCCGGAUUUAUUGGGUUUAAAGGGUGCGUAGGCGGUUUGCUAAGCGGGAGGUGAAAUGCCGGCGCUCAACGUCGGAAGUGCCUCCCGAACUGGUGGACUGGAAUGACUCUGCCGUGGGAGGAAUGUGUAGUGUAGCGGUGAAAUGCUUAGAGAUUACACAGAACACCGAUUGCGAAGGCAACUCACGAAGGGUUGAUUGACGCUGAGGAGCGAAAGCGUGGGGAUCAAACAGGAUUAGAUACCCUGGUAGUCCACGCAGUAAACGAUGAUGGCUAACCGCUGGUUUUUUCGGAUCAGUGGCCAAGCGAAAGCGAGAAGCCAUCCACCUGGGGAGUACGACCGCAAGGUUGAGACUUAAAGGAAUUGACGGGG